rnacentral:rRNA from 1 species
GAUGAACGCUGGCGGCGUGCCUAAUACAUGCAAGUCGAGCGAACAGACGAGAGUGCUUGCACUCUCUGACGUUAGCGGCGGACGGGUGAGUAACACGUGGGUAACCUACCUAUAAGACUGGGAUAACUUCGGGAAACCGGAGCUAAUACCGGAUAAUAUUUAGCUUCGCAUGAAGCAAUAGUGAAAGACGGUUCUGCUGUCACUUAUAGAUGGACCCGCGGUGUAUUAGCUAGUUGGUGAGGUAACGGCUCACCAAGGCAACGAUACAUAGCCGACCUGAGAGGGUGAUCGGCCACACUGGAACUGAGACACGGACCAGACUCCUACGGGAGGCAGCAGUAGGGAAUCUUCCGCAAUGGACGAAAGUCUGACGGAGCAAUGCCGCGUGAGUGAAGAAGGUUUUCGGAUCGUAAAACUCUGUUGUAAGGGAAGAACAAGUACGUUAGUAACUGAACGUACCUUGACGGUACCUUACCAGAAAGCCACGGCUAACUACGUG